GUAGGUGGCAAGCGUUGUCCGGAAUUAUUGGGCGUAAAGCGCACGCAGGCGGUUCUUUAAGUCUGAUGUGAAAGCCCACGGCUCAACCGUGGAGGGUCAUUGGAAACUGGAGAACUUGAGUACAGAAGAGGAAAGCGGAAUUCCACGUGUAGCGGUGAAAUGCGUAGAGAUGUGGAGGAACACCAGUGGCGAAGGCGGCUUUCUGGUCUGUAACUGACGCUGAGGCGCGAAAGCGUGGGGAGCAAACAGGGAUUAGAUACCCUGGUAGUCCACGCCGUAAACGAUGAGUGCUAAGUGUUAGGGGGGUUUCCGCCCCCCUUAGUGCUGCAGCUAACGCAUUAAGCACUCCGCCUGGGGAGUACGGCCGCAAGGCUG
rnacentral:rRNA from 1 species